rnacentral:rRNA from 1 species
AUUGAACGCUGGCGGCAGGCCUAACACAUGCAAGUCGAACGGUAACAGGAAGAAGCUUGCUUCUUUGCUGACGAGUGGCGGACGGGUGAGUAAUGUCUGGGAAACUGCCUGAUGGAGGGGGAUAACUACUGGAAACGGUAGCUAAUACCGCAUAACGUCGCAAGACCAAAAAGGGGGACCUUCGGGCCUCUUGCCAUCGGAUGUGCCCAGAUGGGAUUAGCUAGUAGGUGGGGUAACGGCUCACCUAGGCGACGAUCCCUAGCUGGUCUGAGAGGAUGACCAGCCACCCUGGACCUGAGCCCCGUUCCAGCCUCCUAGGGGGGGCAGCGGUGGGGAAUUUUGCACAAUGGGCGCAAGCCUGAUGCAGCCAUGCCGGGUGGAGGAAGAAGGCCUUGGGGUUUUAAAGUCCUUUCGGGGGGGGGAAAGGGAGUAAAGUUAAUACCUUUCCUCUUUGCCGUUACCCGAAAAAGAAGCCCGGGCAACCUCCGU